rnacentral:rRNA from 1 species
GGCGAGUGGCGGACGGGUGAGGAAUACAUCGGAAUCUACCUUUUCGUGGGGGAUAACGUAGGGAAACUUACGCUAAUACCGCAUACGACCUUCGGGUGAAAGCAGGGGACCUUCGGGCCUUGCGCGGAUAGAUGAGCCGAUGUCGGAUUAGCUAGUUGGCGGGGUAAAGGCCCACCAAGGCGACGAUCCGUAGCUGGUCUGAGAGGAUGAUCAGCCACACUGGAACUGAGACACGGUCCAGACUCCUACGGGAGGCAGCAGUGGGGAAUAUUGGACAAUGGGCGCAAGCCUGAUCCAGCCAUACCGCGUGGGUGAAGAAGGCCUUCGGGUUGUAAAGCCCUUUUGUUGGGAAAGAAAAGCAGUCGGCUAAUACCCGGUUGUUCUGACGGUACCCAAAGAAUAAGCACCGGCUAACUUCGUGCCAGCAGCCGCGGUAAUACGAAGGGUGCAAGCGUUACUCGGAAUUACUGGGCGUAAAGCGUGCGUAGGUGGUUGUUUAAGUCUGUUGUGAAAGCCCUGGGCUCAACCUGGGAAUUGCAGUGGAUACUGGGCGACUAGAGUGUGGUAGAGGGUAGUGGAAUUCCCGGUGUAGCAGUGAAAUGCGUAGAGAUCGGGAGGAACAUCCAUGGCGAAGGCAGCUACCUGGACCAACACUGACACUGAGGCACG